rnacentral:rRNA from 1 species
UACGUAGGGUGCGAGCGUUAAUCGGAAUUACUGGGCGUAAAGCGUGCGCAGGCGGUUUUGUAAGCCAGAUGUGAAAUCCCCGAGCUUAACUUGGGAACUGCAUUUGGGACUGCAAGGCUAGAGUACGGCAGAGGGGGGUAGAAUUCCACGUGUAGCAGUGAAAUGCGUAGAGAUGUGGAGGAACACCGAUGGCGAAGGCAGCCCCCUGGGUCAAGACUGACGCUCAUGCACGAAAGCGUGGGGAGCAAACAGG